GACGAACGCUGGCGGCGUGCUUAACACAUGCAAGUCGAACGGAAAGGCCCCUUUGGGGGUCCUCGAGUGGCGAACGGGUGAGUAACACGUGAGUAACCUGCCCUUGACUUCGGGAUAACUUCAGGAUACUGGGGCUAAUACCGGAUAGGAAUCCUUGCUGCAUGGUGGGGGUUGGAAAGCUUCGGCGGUUUUGGAUGGACUCGCGGCUUAUCAGCUUGUUGGUGGGGUAGUGGCUUACCAAGGCUUUGACGGGUAGCCGGCCUGAGAGGGCGACCGGCCACAUUGGGACUGAGAUACGGCCCAGACUCCUACGGGAGGCAGCAGUGGGGAAUAUUGCACAAUGGGCGGAAGCCUGAUGCAGCAACGCCGCGUGCGGGAUGACGGCCUUCGGGUUGUAAACCGCUUUCAGCAGGGGCGAAGCUUGUGGUGACGGUACCUGCAGAAGAAGCACCGGCUAACUACGUG
rnacentral:rRNA from 1 species